CUGGCUGAGGUGUCCUGGUUGCCAUGGUAACCAGAGGCCUGGGGUCCUUCACAGACAUCCUGGCAUCCGGUAUGUUUAUUGGGUGAGGGGUCUGUGGUUAUUUGUUAAUCAAAUGAAUAAUUGAUUUGUUAAAUCACAAUUUUUGUACUAGUGACCUUUAAUUUGGAGAAAGAGAAACUGGGGGAGUGACUUUUUUUGUGUCAGACAUGUGUCACUUUGCUCACAUCUGAUUGGUCCAAUUUCAAUUUGAGAUCUCUAACUCAGAACAUAACCUGCCCUAUGCAAGUUAGCCAUGGAUUGUAAGUUACUAUGGCAAUGAACGCACUUUCAUGGUACCUAAAACCCAGGAUUGGUGCAAACUAAACUGAAACUUACCUGGCUAGCCAGCUAAUCCGGCUUCAUUGUACAGGCCCCAGAAGAGUUGUUGUUGUUCUGCUGCCUCCAUAUUCUGCUGCCUCAUAGAAUAUCACAGCCACCAAAGCAGACAUGCGCUGUGAUAAACUGCGGUUACACUCUUAAAAGUGCUGGGUUAUUUCUGUAAACACAUUGUUGGGUUAAUUGUGCUGGGUCAUAAUUCUGGGUUGUUUGAGGUACUGUAAACACAGUUGGGUCGUCUCAUCGUCAGAAGGUCACGCAACUCACAGCAAGCAGGAUUAUAAGUCUCAGAAACCCACCAACUUCUGCAGAGUCAGAGUACUGUAGAAUCCGUAGAGAUGGGGAUUGUGCAACAGGCAGAGACUGCAACACCUCAGCUAACCUUGACCAUGCAGCUUUACCCAGCAUUUUUUUAUAGGCAAUUCGCAAGGUUUUGGAAUCGACCCUGGAAGGGAAAGCCAUUUUAAAGAGUUUGGAUGAAAUGCAGUUUAUUACCUGCAAACAGAGGAAGCUACUUGUAAGACUCCUCAUAUCCCACCUGCUGGAAAUCAACGGUGAAACGCGAGUGAGCUACGACCGCAAAUGCUUACAAGGCACAUCUACAGUCUAAACCUGUUGAUUUUUGUAACACUAUUAAAUAGGUUAUUAAAUAGGGCUCUUUUCUUUUCUUUUCUAAUCAAAGUUUAAUCCUGAUAAUACCAAAAUUUGUUCUAAGUCUAUUAGUUCUUUUACGUCCUAAUGUAAUGACGUCGUACACGAU